CAGCCUGGCCCCUUGGCCUGCCUGCACUUGUCCCAGCCCUGGGCCCUGAGGUCACGGAGACCUCCUGAAAUCUGUGCCCAGGGGAGCUGUUCAAGGGCAGACAGGCCUGAUGAGGUGCUAAUUUCAGAGCUAAUUGGAACCAGUGAGCUACAGAUGGCCUAGUCAACAGGAGGUGGGGACUGCAUGAAGGGGGCUGCCAGUGGAAGGGAGCCAGGAGGAGUAACCAGCAUCUAGGGUGGGACAGAGGAGGAGCGUGUGCCUGUGGAGCUGGUGCAGACCUGGUGUGGUGCAAAGGCUUGAUGGCCACCUCUCUGCACAUGACCCUCGGGGUAGAGAGAAAAAGGACAAGGACAGGACCUCCUGGAGCUCAAAGUCAGUUGACACUCCAGAGCUCUGUACAGUUUACAAGCAAUUUCC
rnacentral:lncRNA from 1 species